UAGGGAAUCUUCCGCAAUGGACGAAAGUCUGACGGAGCAACGCCGCGUGAGUGAAGAAGGAUUUCGGUUCGUAAAACUCUGUUGUUAGGGAAGAAAAAAUGUAUAGUAACUAUAUACAAAAGAGACGGUACCUAACCAGAAAGCCACGGCUAACUACGUGCCAGCAGCCGCGGUAAUACGUAGGUGGCAAGCGUUGUCCGGAAUUAUUGGGCGUAAAGCGCGCGCAGGUGGUUUAGAAAGUCUGAUGUGAAAGCCCACGGCUCAACCGUGGAGGGUCAUUGGAAACUAAUAAACUUGAGUGCAGGAGAGAAAAGGGGAAGUCCUAGUGUAGCGGUGAAAUGCGUAGAGAUUAGGAGGAACACCGGUGGCGAAAGCGGCUUUUUGGCCUGCAACUGACACUGAGGCGCGAAAGCGUGGGGAGCAAACAGG
rnacentral:rRNA from 1 species